rnacentral:lncRNA from 1 species
CCUUUUCCCUUUCUGCCCUCUGCCAUGUGAGGUCACAGUGUUCCUCCCUCCUGAGGAUGCAGUGUUCAUGAAAGCAAACACUGGGCCCUCACCAGGCAACAAACCUGCUGGUGCCUUCAUCUUGGACUUCCCAGCCUUCGGAACUAUGGAGCCCGCACUCUCCAGUUCAUCACCACCCCAGCAUCCCUACUCUUGCAUCUAACAGUUUCCGCUAUUUUGCACCACCUGCCUGGCCCUUAUGGGCAACUCAAGGAAGAAAGGAAAGAAGAGAUAGAGGAAAAAUGGAUUCAACAAAUGAAAGUGUUCUUUCUGACUACUGCUGUGUUUACAAACAUUUUAAUCAUCAAAACAUGCUUUAUUUGAUAGAAAGAUCAAAUCUGCCUUUGUAAAACAAGAGACUAUUUUAAUCAUUAAGACAACACACAUGUUUGAUUUGGAGGCGUGUUCUCAUUCAAAACCUUGCAAAAUAUAAUUUCUUCUUGUCUGGGAGAUGGUGUCUUUCUUCGGGGAGAACCUUGAGAGAAAUGUCUAUGAAUGUGUCUGUAGAUUGAGGAUAGGCCAACAAACAUAUUUUGAAAUAUUUUUUCUUUCUUUUAAAAAAAUAGAUACUUUUAAAAGAAAAUGCUUAUUUAAAUUACAUAGCUCUUUUUUUCACUCUCAGUCAUCAUUUGUGGUUUCAGUCAGUACUACAUUUAUUCCCCAGAGCUAGGAUUGCUGUGUUUUUAGAAAGGGAGCCUGUUUGAAGGGACUCUAUACUCUUGCAGUAAUUAAAAUCCUUUUAGGAGUCUUUGACUUUGACUUACUGCUUUGUUUUAAAUUAUUGAAAUUAUUCAACUUCCCCAUUCUAACCCACGGAAGGCUGUUGUUGUUCUCAUUUAUAAUGGCACAAUAUAAGUUUAAAGAUAGCUGUCUCCACAUGAAUGCAUCUGCAAAUCCAUCUCUCUUCUCUCUUCUGCCAUCCAGGUUAAGAAGCUCCACUGCGCUUUGUCCAUUGCAAGUUGAGAAGUGAGGCCCCAGCUGUCACAUACAGUGAGUGAAGAAGCUGAGCUUCCCUCAACGCCUGGGCCUGUAUGAAUUUUUUUUUUUUUUUUUUUUUUGGAGACGGAGUCUCACUUUGUUGCCCAGGCUGGAGUGCAAUGGCACUAUCUCAGGCCACUGCAACCUCUGCCUCCCAGGUUCAAGCGAUUCUUCUGCCUCAGCCUCCUGAGUAGCUGGGAUUACAGAAGUGCACCAUUACAGCUUGCUAAUUUUUGUAUUUUUAGUAGAGAAGGGUUUUCACCAUGUUGGCCAGGUUGGUCUCGAACUCUUGGCCUCAGGUGAUCCGCCCGCACAGCCUCCCAAAGUGUUGGGAUUACAGGCGUGAGCCACUGCGCCCGGCCUUAGGUAAGUUCCUUUUUUUUUUUUUUUGAGACGGAGUUUCACUCUGUUGCCCAGGCUGGGGUGCAAUGGCAUGAUCUCGGCUCACCGCAACCUCUGCCUCCUGGGUUCAAGCAAUUCUCCUGCCUCAGCCUCCUGAGGAGCUGGGAUUACAGGCAUGCACCAUCAUGCCCGGCUAAUUUUGUAUUUUUAGUAGAGACGGGGUUUCUCCAUGUUGAGGCUGGUCUCAAACUCCUGACCUCAGGUGAUUCACCCGCCUCGGCCUCCCAAACUGCUGGGAUUAUAGGCAUAAGCCACCGCGCCCGGCCUUAGGUAAGUUUCUUAAAGGAAAUGCAGACUUCAAUUACUUUCACCUUGGCUGUAUAUAAAAAAUUAUCUGGGAAGCUUUAAAAAAGAUCCAGAAAUACCCAGGCAGAGAACAAAGGGAAUUUGCUCCCUGCUCCCUUAGAGACAUUAAAUUGAAAUUGCUUGGAUCAGCCAGGCACGGCGGCUCAUGCCUGUAAUCCCAGCACUUUGGGAGGCUGAGGCGGGCACAUCAUGAGGUCAGGCGUUCGAGACCAGCCUGUCCAACACGGUGAAACCUGUCUGUACUGAAAAUACAAAAAUUAGCCAGGCCUGGUGGCACAUGCCUGUAGUCCCAGCUACUUGGGAGGCUGAGGCAGGAGAAUCCCUUGAACCCAAGAGGUAGAGGUUGCAGUGAGCCAAGAUCGUGCCACUGUACUCCAUCCUAGGCAACAGAGCAAGACUGCAUCUCAAGAAAAAAAAAAAGAAAUUACUUGGAUCCUAAGAAUGGGUAUUUUUUUUAAUUGUGGUAGAACAAACAACAGCAACAACAAAAAAACGCACAACGUAAAAUUUGCCAUCUUAAUCAUUUUUAAGUGUACAGUUUAGUAGUGUUAAGUAAAUUUACAUUGUGAUGCAACAGAUUUCCAGAAGCUUUUCAUCUUGCAAAGCUGAAUCCCUACACCUUUUUUUUUUUUUUUUUUUGAGACAGAGUCUUGCUCUGUUGCCCAGGCUGGAGUGCAGUGGCAUGAUCUUGGCUCACUGCAACCUCCACCUCCUGGGUUCAAGCGAUUCUCCUGCCUCAACCUCCCAAGUAGCUGAGAGUAAGGCGCUCACCACCAUGCCCGGCUAAUUUUUGUAUUUUUAGUAGAGAUGGGGUUUCACCAUAUUGGCCAGGCUGGUCUCAAACACCUGACCUCGUGAUCUACCCGCCUCGGCCUCCCAAAGUGCUGAGAUUACAGGCAUAAGCCACUGCGCCCGGCCAUCUACACCCAUUAAACAACUCCCCACUUCCCCUUCUCAUCAGGUGCUGGCAACCACCAUUCUACUUUUUGUUUCUAUGAGUUUGACUACUUUAGAUGCCUCAUAUAAGUGAAAUCAUACAGUAUUUGUCUUUUGUGGCUUAUGUCACAUAGCAUAAUGUCCUCAAGGCUCAUCUAUGUUGUAGCAUGUGUCAGCAUUUCCUUCCUUUUUAAGGCUGAAUAAUAUUUCAUGGUACGUACAUAACACAUUUUCUUUUUUCUUUUUUUUUUUGAGAUGGAGUCUUGCUGUGUCGCCCAGGCUGGAGUGCAGUGGCGUGAUCUCGGCUCACUGCAAGCUCCGCCUCCUGGGUUCUUGCCAUUCUCCUGCCUCAGCCUCCCAAGUAGCUGGGACUACAGGCGCUCGCCACCAUGCCCGGCUAUUUUUUUGUAUUUUUAGUAGAGACGGAGUUUCACCGUGUUAGCCAGGAUGGUCUCCAACUCCUGACCUCGUGAUCCACCAACCUCGGCUGGGAUUACAGGCCUGAGCCACCACGCCGGCCCAUAACACAUUUUCUUUAUCGAUUCAUCUAUCGAUGGGCAUUUAGAUUGUUUCCACAUCUUGGCUAUUGUGAAUAAUGCCGGGGUGAACAUGGGUGUGCAAAUACUAUAUAUCUUUCCUUUUUAAGGCUGAAUAAUAUUUCUUGGUAUGUACAUAACACAUUUUCUUUAUCCAUUCAUCUAUCGAUGGGCAUUUAGGUUGUUUCCACAUCUUGGCUAUUGUGAAUAACGCCGCUGUGAACACGGGUGUGCAAAUACUAUAUCUCUUUGAAAUCCUGCUUUCAAUUCUUUUGGAUAUGUAGCUAGAAGUAGAAUUGCUGGAUCAUAUGUUAAGUAUAUUUUUAAUUUUUUGAGGAACUUCCAUUCUGUUUUCCAUAGCAGCUGCAUCAUUUUACAUUCCCACGAACUGCACAAGUGUUCCAAAGAGCAUGGGUAUUUUUAAAAGCUCUUUCAGUAGAAGCUUUCUGUUUAUUAUCUUUUGCUUUCCUUUUUUCUUCUCCACCAUUACCUUAACACAACCUAUCUCGUUUACCUGGACUAACUGAUUGGUUUGAUAAAUUUUCCUAUAUUUUCUUUCUUUUUCUUAUUGGAGGCGAUACAAUUCAAUUCUUUUACAAUAGACUUUAAAUUUUUUUACACGUAUAUUAUUUAAUAAAUACUUUUUUCUCUUUUUUUUUUUUUUUUUGGAGACAGGGUCUCUCUCUGUCACCCAGGCUGGAGUGCAGUGGCAUGAUCUCAGCCCACUGCAACCUCAGCCACCUGGGUUCAAGCAAUUAUCAUGCCUCAACCUCUGGAAUAGCUGGGAUUACAGGGGCGCACCAUCACCCCCGGCUAAUUUUUAUAUUCUAACAGAGACAGGGUUUCACCAUGUUGGCCAGGCUGGUCUCAAACUCCUGACCUCAGGUGAUCCACCCACCUUGGCCUUCCAAAAUGCUGGGAUUACAGGCCUGAGCCACCGUGCCCGGCCAUAAAAUACUUUUUUCUAACAAAAUCGAAAGUUUUUACUGUUUUUUCUUUUCUUAAACACAUUGUGACGUAUUAAAGUAUGCUUGAAUAAUUUAUUGUAUAACUUUACCUCCCACCCCAUCAUAAUAGUGUUCUCUGGAGGUUUAACAUUCUUUUAAGCACCCUCACCCCAUAACUGUUUUUCACAAUUGUUAAAUAAAUUUUCUAACAUAAUUUGUCAAUUUGUGUGCUAAAAUCUGUUUUCCGUGUACAAAUGUAUCUGAGUCACUUUUCUUCUUGCCACUUUCAAGAAGACCUGCUACAAUACAAGGUAUUUUUCAAAAUAUGUAACAGCCAGGGCCCUGGAAUCAAACUGAGCUGACCAAUCAGCAGGCUCUCUUCCUGCGGGGGCGGGGAGCGGUUGAAGAAGGAUGGGAGGAUUGUGGUGAGGGGGAGCCGUGGAGAGACAGGCACUCACAAGCCAGAACAGGGCACUGACCCAUCAGAAUGGGCACUGACUUUAAGCAGCCUCUUUGUUCACACCAGUGCUGCCGUCCUUGGUGACCAUCAGCCCCAGCCUUCAGAGAGAGAAAGAGAGACAGAGACAGAGACUAUAUGCAGUAUUUUUUUUUUCUUUUUCCUGAGAUGGAGUCUCACUGUGUCACCGAGGAUGGAGUGCAGUGUCGCAAUCUUGGCUCACUGCAACCUCAGCCUCCCGGGUUCAAGCGAUUCUUCUGCCUCAGCCUCCUGAGUAGCUGAGAUUACAGGUGCAUGCCACCAUGCCCGGCUAAUUUUUGUAUUUUUAGUAGAGACGGGGUUUCACCAUGUUGGCCAGGCUGGUCUCGAACUCCUGACCUUGUGAUCCACCUGCCUCAGCCUCCCAAAGUGCUGGGGUUACAGGCAUGAGCCACCGUGCCUGACCUUUUUUUUUUUUUUUAAAGAUAUUUACUGUUCUAGUGUGGAAUAUUGCCUGGAAUGGAAUGGUUUAAAUAUUACCAUAGUGUAGUUUAAAAUAUAAAAUAGGAUUUGGAAUCUUAUUGUGAUAAAUUUCUGUAUAUGAUGUAUGUGGUUGUCUCCCUCCGCCAAAGUAAGGAACCCUUUUACAGCAUGUUGAGAAGGUAUUUUUUGGUAUGAAAGGGGGACAGGCCUUUACAUCUUUCAGGGAUACACAUAAGCAUAAGGAUUCAGCCUCUAUGGGGAAGGUGUGUGCAGCACUCAAAGUUGCUAACAUCAACUUCCUAACUUUCAGCCAGGGUUCUUACUGCAUUUGGCAUGGCUCUGAUGAGAGAGUGGAGAAUUUCUGACAGCAUAGCACACUAGCUUCUGACAGAUGGGGUUAAGUUGCCAAAAAUGACAAUCAGGGAUUCAAUAAGAAAUUUUGGUCAUUAAAUCGAUUUUAUAUUAUUGCUUUUUUUUUUUUUUUUUUGAGACGGAGUCUCCCUGUGUCGCCCAGGCUGAAGUGCAGUGGUGCAGUCUCACUCACUGCAAGCUCCGCCUCCCGGGUUCAUGCCAUUCUCCUGCCUCAGCCUCCUGAGUAGCUGGGACUACAGGGGCCUGCCACCAUGCCCAGCUAAUUUUUUUUGUAUUUUUAGUAGAGAUAGGGUUUCACCGUGUUAGCCAGGAUGGUCUCGAUCUCCUGACUUCGUGAUCCACCUGCCUCGGCCUCCCAAAGUGCUGGGAUUACAAGUGUGAGCCACCGCGCUCGGCCUAUAUUAUUACUUUUUAUUAGGUUGGUGCAAAAGUAAAUGUGGUUUUUGCCAUUACUUUUAAUGGGAAAAACCGCAAUUACUAAUCUUCCGUUUGUCAUAGGACUUUAAAACCAUAUAUUUCCCCUCAAUUUUAUUCUCCUUUUGGUUUAAUAGUUGUUAAGACAUUUUUUCAUAAUUAGCACAGUAUGUUUGACUGCAGACCCUUUUUUUUUUUUUUUUUUGAGACGGAGUCUCACUCUGUCACCCAGGUUGGAGUGCAGUGGUGUGAUCUCGGCUCACUGCAACCUCUGCCUCCUGGGUUCAAGCAAUUCUCUGCCUCAGCCUCCC